rnacentral:rRNA from 1 species
UACGGGGGGGGCAAGCGUUGUUCGGAAUUACUGGGCGUAAAGGGCUCGUAGGUGGCCAACUAAGUCAGACGUGAAAUCCCUCGGCUUAACCGAGGAACUGCGUCUGAUACUGGAUGGCUUGAGUUUGGGAGAGGGACGCGGAAUUCCAGGUGUAGCGGUGAAAUGCGUAGAUAUCGGGAGGAACACCGGUGGCGAAGGCGGCCCGCUGGUAGGAGACUGACGCUGAGACACGAAAGCGUGGGGAGCAAACCGG